UAAUAGAAAUAAUUGUUUUUUCCGGUGCACCCUGAAUACAGCACGAACAGGUCAAACAGAAACUGUUACCACAGUUUCGACUUAACUGGACGUGAAAACAGCUUAAUCCUCUUGUCCGUGAAGAAUCCCAGGGAGUGUCUCGAAGUUGCAAUCGUAAUGCAUGCUCACAUGCAUUAGUGUAUUUGUAGAAAAGGUAUUUGCGGAAUCGUUGCCACUGUUUUGCUGUUAACCAGCCGUGUCUUUGUGGCCGCUGGCGGCGUAAAACGGGACUGAGGUUCUAAAGUGACUGAAAAUGAAUUACACGGGUCGACAGUUUUUCGACGGAACCUUUAACCUUGCAGCAGCGGAUGUAAAGUACCAUGGCUUGGCAAAAGAAGGAGCAACAUGCUAUCUGAACAGUGUGCUGCAGGUGCUGUUUAUGACCAAAGACUUCAGACAAGCUGUGAUGAGGCACACCAAUGAAAAUUCUCAGUUUAUUGACCAACAUCUUAAAGCACUGUUUGAAGACUUACAGAAUCAUACUGCAAAGACGGAUGCAAUAAUAAAGACGCUGG